rnacentral:lncRNA from 1 species
UGUGGAGUUGGAUUAAGCUAUUACAAAAAUAACUAAUACCACACCAGCUAAUAUUUUGUUAACAAAUUAUGAGUAUUUGAUUUAGAAUAUGCUUUUCAUCCACAUAAAAGAUAGGAAUUUUUAUUUUUAUAGUCUUACAAAUACUCUUCACUCAAGAUCAUGGAAUUCAAUAUUAGAUUAAAUGCAUAUAUUGUGCAUCAUUCAACUUUGAAACAUGUGAACAUAGCCA